CCCCAUUUCUCCGACUCUUGCUGCCAAGGUCUUGCAACCCCUCUGACCAAUCCCCACAUCUUGCCGUCGUCACCACCACUUCCACAUUUUUCCAUUGUCACCAUCGCAACCCCCUUGCCGCCGUUACCACCGCAACCACCUCUGCUGCCGCCACCGCCACCACUCACCCCAUUCCCGUCGCGUCACCACCUCCGUCGCUAUUUCAGGCGAGUCAUAGAACAUUCUUUGUUUGAUUCAUCCAUCUUAGACAUUGUGAGUCCUAGAUUUUAAUUAUAUGAUGAAAUCAAGAAGAUCGGUAUUUAGUGUUUCAAAUGAAUUUUGCUAUAAUAAUCCAAAUUAUAGAGAUUGUGAAAUAUACGGUGUUUAUCUACUAGUUGGAAUUGAGUAUAGAAUUUGAUUUUGUUUAUAUACCAAUCAAAUACCACUAGUUGGAAGAAUACAUCGGAAUCCUAUAGUAAAGAUUUGUAGAUGGGCUUAUUUGUGGUGUCAAAGCUGGACUAGGUUUUAUUUUUACAAUGGCUAACGCAAACAUACUGUAAAUCAAUCUUUGGAUGACUUCAAAAGUCAAUUGUAUUUGUUUCCCAAAAUAUUAUUGGUGCACAGGUAUGCCAUGUUAUGCUGAGUACAUGUAAAAUCUUACCACCAAAUGCCAAUAACGAACGUCUUUAGGUACGUAUACUAUAAAUUUACUCAGUUACUUCGUGUUUAAUAACGAGUUUGUUUACAUUGAUCAUGACUACGAGAUUUUUUAAUUAAGUUUACUAUACAUGCUCAUUUGUUCAAUUUCAUUAAAUACUCCCCUCCUGCAGAGUUUGUAUCUAAGAUAGAUGUCUUACAAAUGCAAAACAUAGAGUUGACUUUUUUUAUAUCCAAAUCCAAGCUAGACUCUUCUGUCAUCGUCUACUUUUUUUUAUGCUCAGAUGUGAGAUUGGCUGCUGAGUCUAAAAGUAGAAGGUUGCUAGCUACGUAAAAUGGCUAGAAGAUGAAUUAGAACUUAAUGCUUUUCAUGAACCUAGAAGUUGUAGAGGUGGAAAUGAGAAAACUGUUGGAAGUCAAAGAACAACCCUUUUGGCAUUCUUCCAAUACUAAGGUAACUGCUACUAUCAUUGUUAAAAAAGAGUUAACACGAGGAUCAUGGUGUUUAUUUUUUUACAGGUAACUGCUACUAUCAUUGUUAAAAAAGAGUUAACACGAGGAUCAUUUUACUCACAUGAUGAUUGUGGAAGAGGUUCACGAACGAAGUUUUGAAUAUUUAUUUCAAACAUUUAUACCAAUGAUCCCGUGGUGAAUCUUUGACACUUUGGAGCUUUAGACAUAUACUAAGGGAUGACAUGUCGUCUCUACAAACUCUUCUAUAGCAACAUCUAUAGGGACUUUUGUUGGCCUAUAGGGACAAGGCUAUUGAGAGAAAUUUUAUAGAGACGAUAUGUCGUCUCUAUAGGUUAAAAAGGCCUAUAGAGACAACAUGUCCUCCCUAUAAGCUGAAAAAAAUGUCGUCCCUACAAGGUAUUUUUCUUGUAGUGAAAGACAACCGAUGUGCCUUCUUAAACGUGAACACAAUCAGUGGUCAAAUGUGUAGAGAAAUGAGAGCAGAAGUUGAAGAACACAUUAGGACUAUGGUGCGUUAUCGUGAUGAUAACGAAUUCAUCAUUGUACCUUAUUGUGCCGAUACGACGGGUAUAUAUUUUAGAUCAACUAUUCAAAGAGGGCAACAAGAAUCCUAGCCACUGUCGUCUUACAAGUGUGAUUGAAAGCGCCUUGCUGCCAAUAAAACCCACAUUUGAUAUGGUUAAUUGCAAUCAACAAGCUGAGACAUGGGAAUGCGGCUAUAUACUUCUUCAAUCUAUGUUCGACUUUGUCAAUGUGUAUCAAAAGCAAUUUCCGAAAAUGUGGAACGACACGAAAGAGGUUACAAAUGAAGAUAUAGAAAAGACGUUGAAGGAAUUGAUGCCAAUUUUAUUUGACGGGUUGGGUAUUCCUUAGUUUAAAUAUAGUUUGUUUAUGGUUUUAAAUAGAUUAAGUAGUGAAUUGUUAUUUUACCAAUUAAUCUUGUAGACUUUCGGGUUAAAUGUGUAUUGGUUCACUUUUUACUUGUCCGGAUUUGAUUACGUUGAAUAUAUAAAAGGAUUGAUUGGAUUUGACGUC